GAUGAACGCUGGCGGCGUGCCUAAUACAUGCAAGUCGAGCGAACAGAUGAGGAGCUUGCUCCUCUGCCGUUAGCGGCGGACGGGUGAGUAACACGUGGAUAACCUACCUAUAAGACUGGGAUAACUUCGGGACACCGGAGCUCAUACCGGAUAAUAUAUUGAACCGCAUGGUUCAAUAGUGAAAGACGGUUUUGCUGUCACUUAUAGAUGGAUCCGCGCCUCAUUAGCUAGUUGGUAAGGUAACGGCUUACCAAGGACACGAUGCGUAACCGACCUGAGAGGGUCGUCCGCCACACGGGAACUGAGACACGGUCCAGACUCCGACGGUGGGCAGCAGCAGGGAAUCUUCCGCGAUGGGGGAAAGCCUGACGGUGCAACGCCGCGUGAGUGAUGAAGGUCUUCGGAUCGUAAAACUCUGUUAUUAGUGAAGAACAAAUGUGUAAGUAACUAUGCACGUCUUGACGGUACCUAAUCAGAAAGCCACGGCUAACUACGUG
rnacentral:rRNA from 1 species